rnacentral:rRNA from 1 species
GCGAUCAUACCAGCACUAAUGCACCGGAUCCCAUCAGAACUCCGAAGUUAAGCGUGCUUGGGCGAAAGUAGUACUAGGAUGGGUGACCCCCUUGGAAAUCCUCGUAUUGCACCCC